GCGGCAGGCUUCAUACAUGCAAGUCGAGGGGCAGCAUAAAUUACUUGUAAUUUGAUGGCGACCGGCGAACGGGUGCGUAACGCGUAUGCAACUUACCUUUUACUAGAGAAUAGCCAAGAGAAAUUUUGAUUAAUGCUCUAUACACUUAUUAAUUCACAUGAAUCUAUAAGAAAAGCUCCGGCGGUAAAAGAUGGGCAUGCGUCCUAUUAGCUUGUAGGUGAGGUAAUGGCUCACCUAAGCUCCGAUAGGUAGGGGUCCUGAGAGGGAGAUCCCCCACACUGGUACUGAGACACGGACCAGACUUCUACGGAAGGCAGCAGUAAGGAAUAUUGGACAAUGGAGGCAACUCUGAUCCAGCCAUGCCGCGUGAAGGAAGACGGCCUUAUGGGUUGUAAACUUCUUUUGUACAGGAAGAAACCUUUCCACGUGUGGAAAGCUGACGGUACUGUAAGAAUAAGGAUCGGCUAACUCCGUGCCAGCAGCCGCGGUAAUACGGAGGAUCCAAGCGUUAUCCGGAAUUAUUGGGUUUAAAGGGUCCGCAGGCUGUUUGUUAAGUCAGAGGUGAAAUCCUACCGCUCAACGGUAGAACUGCCUUUGAUACUGGCAAACUUGAGUUAUUGUGAAGUAGUUAGAAUGUGUAGUGUAGCGGUGAAAUGCAUAGAUAUUACACAGAAUACCGAUUGCGAAAGCAGAUUACUAACAAUAUACUGACGCUGAGGGACGAAAGCGUGGGUAGCGAACAGGAUUAGAUACCCUGGUAGUCCACGCCGUAAACGAUGGUCACUAGCUGUUUGAUGUACAUUGGUACAUUGAGUGGCUAAGCGAAAGUGAUAAGUGACCCACCUGGGGAGUACGCUCGC
rnacentral:rRNA from 1 species